rnacentral:rRNA from 1 species
UACGUAGGGACCGAGCGUUGUCCGGAAUCAUUGGGCGUAAAGCGCACGUAGGCGGCGCAGUAAGUCGGACGUGAAAUCCCUCGGCUCAACCGAGGACGUGCAUCCGAAACUACUGUGCUCGAGUAUGGAAGAGGGUCGCGGAAUUCUCGGUGUAGAGGUGAAAUUCGUAGAUAUCGGGAGGAACACCAGUGGCGAAGGCGGCGACCUGGGCCAAUACUGACGCUGAGGUGCGAAAGCGUGGGGAGCAAACAGG